rnacentral:lncRNA from 10 species
UUUAUUUUGCUGCAGGGGUUCUUGCUUACCUUGGAAGCCCUAAGAAGCUCUGAUGAGCUGGAAAUGAACAGCCAAUUCCACUGUGCUCAUUGAGCACCUGCUGCUGCUGGAGAGGGCACCAGGCAUGUCCAAAACUCUCCUCUCAUUUAAACCUCAUCUUAUAAAACAUCCUGGAGGUGGAGAUCUUUCUUCCUUUAAGUACAUUAAGGCUUGAAGAAGUUAUGAAACUUGCCCAAGGUCACACAGUUAAUCAACAGCAGCAUCAGGAAUCAAAUCCAGAUUUGUCCAUCUCCUAAGACUGAACUGGAACUCUUUUUAUUGCAAAAAACUCAAAUCCUUUUUGAAAAAAGAAUAAGGUCCAGGCCCCAGAGGAAUAGAGUUAUUGAAAAUUCACAAUGUGCUGGAUUUAUAUGCAUUGUUAUCACAUUUAUAUGCAUUGUUUCAUUUUAUGUUUAAAACAAUCCUACUCCUGCCAGGCUUUUUCACUGCCAAGUUAGAGAUAAAGUAGCAGAGUCUAGAAGUGUCUAAAAGAGGUCAAGUAUCUUGCAUGAGGUUGCACCAGCUGAAAGUUCUGGAGUCAGGAGACGUGGACUAAAGUCCUGAUACGUGCCUGUUGUACCAACACAAUUAUCAGUAGUGCUUUUUUUCACUGUCCAAAGGGUUCUGGUUGAGAUGAUGAACUAUAUAGUCACCCUAACUACCAUUCUAGUUCCUGCCACCUGGAUGCCUUCUGAUGCCUGAAUCUCCAACAUCUCCUUCAAUUACUUCAAUUACUCCUACCUUUCCAAAAAUUAGGACAGACACACACAGAUGAAAGACCCUGUGGAGACACGGAGAAGAUGGCCAUUUAUAAGCCAAGAAAAUAAAGAGGCUUCAGAAGAAACCAGCCCUGUUGACACCUUGAUCUUGGGCUUCUUGUCUCCAGAAUUGUGAGAAAAUAAAUUUCUGUUGUUUAAGCCAC